GACGAACGCUGGCGGCGUGCUUAACACAUGCAAGUCGAACGGAAAGGCUCCAGCUUGCUGGAGUACUCGAGUGGCGAACGGGUGAGUAACACGUGGGUGAUCUGCCCUGCACUUCGGGAUAAGCCUGGGAAACUGGGUCUAAUACCGGAUAGGACCGCACUUUGGUGUGUGUGGUGGAAAGGUUUUUCUGGUGUGGGAUGAGCUCGCGGCCUAUCAGUUUGUUGGUGGGGUAAUGGCCUACCAAGACGGCGACGGGUAGCCGGCCUGAGAGGGUGGACGGUCACAUUUGGACUGAGAUACGGCCCAGACUCCUACGGGAGGCAGCAGUGGGGAAUAUUGCACAAUGGGGGAAACCCUGAUGCAGCGACGCCGCGUGGGGGAUGAAGGCCUUCGGGUUGUAAACUCCUUUCGCUAGGGACGAAGCUUUUUGUGACGGUACCUGGAGAAGAAGCACCGGCUAACUACGUG
rnacentral:rRNA from 1 species